AUUGAACGCUGGCGGCAUGCUUUACACAUGCAAGUCGAACGGCAGCACGGGCUUCGGUCUGGUGGCGAGUGGCGAACGGGUGAGUAAUAUAUCGGAACGUACCCAGCAGUGGGGGAUAACGUAGCGAAAGUUACGCUAAUACCGCAUACGAUCUAUGGAUGAAAGCAGGGGACCGCAAGGCCUUGUGCUCCUGGAGCGGCCGAUAUCUGAUUAGCUAGUUGGUGCGGUAGAGGCUCACCAAGACGACGAUCAGUAGCUGGACUGAGAGGACGACCAGCCAGACUGGAACUGAGACACGGUCCAGACGCCUACGGGAGGCAGCAGUGGGGAAUUUUGGACAAUGGGCGCAAGCCUGAUCCAGCAAUGCCGCGUGAGUGAAGAAGGCCUUCGGGGUGUAAAGCUCUUUUGUCAGGGAAGAAACGGUAGAGGCUAAUAUCCUUGGCUAAUGACGGUACCUGAAGAAUAAGCACCGGCUAACUACGUG
rnacentral:rRNA from 1 species